AUGAACGCUGGCGGCGCGCCUAACACAUGCAAGUCGAACGGCACCCCUCUCCGGAGGGAAGCGAGUGGCGAACGGCUGAGUAACACGUGGAGAACCUGCCCCCUCCCCCGGGAUAGCCGCCCGAAAGGACGGGUAAUACCGGAUACCCCGGGGUGCCGCAUGGCACCCCGGCUAAAGCCCCGACGGGAGGGGAUGGCUCCGCGGCCCAUCAGGUAGACGGCGGGGUGACGGCCCACCGUGCCGACAACGGGUAGCCGGGUUGAGAGACCGACCGGCCAGAUUGGGACUGAGACACGGCCCAGACUCCUACGGGAGGCAGCAGUGGGGAAUCUUGCGCAAUGGGGGGAACCCUGACGCAGCGACGCCGCGUGCGGGACGGAGGCCUUCGGGUCGUAAACCGCUUUCAGCAGGGAAGAGUCAAGACUGUACCUGCAGAAGAAGCCCCGGCUAACUACGUGCCAGCAGCCGCGGUAAUACGUAGGGGGCGAGCGUUAUCCGGAUUCAUUGGGCGUAAAGCGCGCGUAGGCGGCCCGGCAGGCCGGGGGUCGAAGCGGGGGGCUCAACCCCCCGAAGCCCCCGGAACCUCCGCGGCUUGGGUCCGGUAGGGGAGGGUGGAACACCCGGUGUAGCGGUGGAAUGCGCAGAUAUCGGGUGGAACACCGGUGGCGAAGGCGGCCCUCUGGGCCGAGACCGACGCUGAGGCGCGAAAGCUGGGGGAGCGAACAGGAUUAGAUACCCUGGUAGUCCCAGCCGUAAACGAUGGACGCUAGGUGUGGGGGGACGAUCCCCCCGUGCCGCAGCCAACGCAUUAAGCGUCCCGCCUGGGGAGUACGGCCGCAAGGCUAAAACUCAAAGGAAUUGACGGGGGCCCGCACAAGCAGCGGAGCAUGUGGCUUAAUUCGAAGCAACGCGAAGAACCUUACCAGGUCUUGACAUCGAUCUAAAGGCUCCAGAGAUGGAGAGAUAGCUAUAGAGAAGACAGGUGGUGCAUGGUUGUCGUCAGCUCGUGCCGUGAGGUGUCGGGUUAAGUCCCAUAACGAGCGCAACCCCUACCGUUAGUUGCCAUCAGGUCAAGCUGGGCACUCUGGCGGGACUGCCGGUGUAAGCCGAGAGGAAGGUGGGGAUGACGUCAAAUCAUCAUGCCCCUUAUGGCCUGGGCUACACACGUACUACAAUGGCGUCUACAAAGAGCGGCAAGCCUGUGAAGGCAAGCGAAUCUCAUAAAGGACGUCUCAGUUCGGAUUGAAGUCUGCAACCCGACUUCAUGAAGCUGGAAUCGCUAGUAAUCGCGAAUCAGCAUGUCGCGGUGAAUACGUUCUCGGGCCUUGUACACACCGCCCGUCAAACCAUGGGAGUUGGUAAUGCCCGAAGCCGGUGGCAUAACCCUUCGGGGAGUGAGCCGUCGAAGGCAGGACCGAUGACUGGGGUU
rnacentral:rRNA from 1 species